UACGUAGGGUCCGAGCGUUGUCCGGAAUUAUUGGGCGUAAAGAGCUUGUAGGCGGUCUGUCGCGUCUGCUGUGAAAAUCCGGGGCUCAACCCCGGACUUGCAGUGGGUACGGGCAGACUAGAGUGUGGUAGGGGAGACUGGAAUUCCUGGUGUAGCGGUGAAAUGCGCAGAUAUCAGGAGGAACACCGAUGGCGAAGGGAGGUCUCUGGGCCACUACUGACGCUGAGAAGCGAAAGCAUGGGGAGCAAACAGG
rnacentral:rRNA from 1 species